rnacentral:rRNA from 1 species
UAGGGAAUAUUGGGCAAUGGAGGGAACUCUGACCCAGCCAUGCCGCGUGCAGGAUGAAGGCGUUAUGCGUUGUAAACUGCUUUUAUAUAGGAAGAAAUAGUCCUUGCGAGGAAAGUUGACGGUACUAUAUGAAUAAGCACCGGCUAACUCCGUGCCAGCAGCCGCGGUAAUACGGAGGGUGCAAGCGUUGUCCGGAUUUAUUGGGUUUAAAGGUGCGUAGGCGGUUUAUUAAGUCAGUGGUGAAAGACGGUCGCUCAACGAUUGCAGUGCCAUUGAUACUGGUAGACUUGAGUAUGAUUGAGGUAGCUGGAAUGGAUAGUGUAGCGGUGAAAUGCAUAGAUAUUAUCCAGAACACCAAUUGCGUAGGCAAGUUACUAAGUCAUAACUGACGCUGAGGCACGAAAGUGUGGGUAUCAAACAGGAUUAG